UACGAAGGGGGCUAGCGUUGUUCGGAAUUACUGGGCGUAAAGCGCACGUAGGCGGAUACUUACGUCAGGGGGGAAAUCCCGGGGCUCAACCCCGGAACUGCCUUUGAUACUGGGUAUCUCGAGUCCGGAAGAGGUGAGUGGAAUUCCGAGUGUAGAGGUGAAAUUCGUAGAUAUUCGGAGGAACACCAGUGGCGAAGGCGGCUCGCUGGGACGGUACUGACGCUGAGGCGCGAAAGCGUGGGGAGCAAACAGG
rnacentral:rRNA from 1 species